UACGUAGGGUGCAAGCGUUGUCCGGAAUUAUUGGGCGUAAAGAGCUCGUAGGCGGUCUGUCACGUCGGCUGUGAAAACCUGGGGCUCAACCCCGGGCCUGCAGCCGAUACGGGCAGACUAGAAUUCGGUAGGGGAGACUGGAAUUCCUGGUGUAGCGGUGAAAUGCGCAGAUAUCAAGAGGAACACCUGCGGCGAAGGCGGGUUGCUGGGCUGACACUGACGCUGAGGCGCGAAAGCUAGGGGAGCGAACGGG
rnacentral:rRNA from 1 species